rnacentral:lncRNA from 1 species
GCCUACUAUGAACCUUACACCGAAACAGAAACGAUAAUGUGAAAACUAUCUUGCCAAGAUAAAUUUUUCAUACAACUCAUACGUUCAUGCGUCUAUAGGGUUUUCUCUGUUUAAUCUCAUGAUGGGUUGAUAGCUUAGACUACGAGUUGACUCUCUUUUCGACUUUGAGGAAGAUGGAAAUAUAGUGACCAUAGACAUGAUUGUGUCUCUGAACAUAUUCAAAAAUUGAAAAUGGCGUAUGAAAAAGCAGGGGAGCACUUACAAAAAGAAACUGAUUUACGACAGAAAGCUCAUAACUGCGAAGCAUCUGAACAAAAACUUGA